rnacentral:rRNA from 1 species
GAUGAACGCUGGCGGCGUGCCUAAUACAUGCAAGUCGAGCGAAUGGAUUAAGAGCUUGCUCUUAUGAAGUUAGCGGCGGACGGGUGAGUAACACGUGGGUAACCUGCCCAUAAGACUGGGAUAACUCCGGGAAACCGGGGCUAAUACCGGAUAACAUUUUGAACCGCAUGGUUCGAAAUUGAAAGGCGGCUUCGGCUGUCACUUAUGGAUGGACCCGCGUCGCAUUAGCUAGUUGGUGAGGUAACGGCUCACCAAGGCAACGAUGCGUAGCCGACCGGAGACGGGGAUGGGCCACACAGGGACUGAGACACAGCACAGGAUCCUACGGGAGGAAGCAGUAGGGAAUCUUACGCAAUGGACGAAAGUCUGACGGAGCAACGCCGCGUGAGUGAUGAAGGCUUUCGGGUCGUAAAACGCUGUUGUUAGGGAAGAACAAGUGCUAGUUGAAUAAGCUGGCACCUUGACGGUACCUAACCAGAAAGCCACGGCUAACUACGUGCCAGCCGCCGCCGUAA